CUGGCUCAGGAUGAACGCUAGCUACAGGCUUAACACAUGCAAGUCGAGGGGCAGCAUUGGGAUAGCUUGCUAUUCAGAUGGCGACCGGCGCACGGGUGAGUAACGCGUAUCCAACCUUCCUGCCAGUAGGGAACAGCCCGGCGAAAGUCGGAUUAAUGCCCUAUGUUCUUCAAUGCGGACAUCUAAGUUGAAGGAAAGAUUCAUCGCUGGCAGAUGGGGAUGCGUCCGAUUAGCUUGCCGGCGGGGUAACGGCCCACCGGGGCGACGAUCGGUAGGGGUUCUGAGAGGAAGGUCCCCCACACUGGUACUGAGACACGGACCAGACUCCUACGGGAGGCAGCAGUGAGGAAUAUUGGUCAAUGGGCGUAAGCCUGAACCAGCCAAGUAGCGUGCAGGAAUGACGGCCCUACGGGUUGUAAACUGCUUUUAUGCGGGGAUAAAGUGCGGCACGUGUGCCGCUUUGCAGGUACCGCAUGAAUAAGGACCGGCUAAUUCCGUGCCAGCCGCAGC
rnacentral:rRNA from 1 species